rnacentral:rRNA from 1 species
GACGAACGCUGGCGGCGUGCUUAACACAUGCAAGUCGAACGGUAAGGCCCUUCGGGGUACACGAGUGGCGAACGGGUGAGUAACACGUGGGUGAUCUGCCCUGCACUUCGGGAUAAGCCUGGGAAACUGGGUCUAAUACCGGCUAGGACCAUGCGCUGCACGGUGUGUGGUGGAAAGCUUUUGCGGUGUGGGAUGGGCCCGCGGCCUAUCAGCUUGUUGGUGGGGUAAUGGCCUACCAAGGCGACGACGGGUAGCCGGCCUGAGAGGGUGACCGGCCACACUGGGACUGAGAUACGGCCCAGACUCCUACGGGAGGCAGCAGUGGGGAAUAUUGCACAAUGGGCGCAAGCCUGAUGCAGCGACGCCGCGUGAGGGAUGACGGCCUUCGGGUUGUAAACCUCUUUCAGUAGGGACGAAGCGCAAGUGACGGUACCUACAGAAGAAGGACCGGCCAACUACGUGCCAGCCGCCGCAGUAA